rnacentral:rRNA from 1 species
CCUACGGGAGGCUGCAGUGAGGAAUAUUGGUCAAUGGGCGGAAGCCUGAACCAGCCAAGUAGCGUGCAGGAUGACGGCCCUACGGGUUGUAAACUGCUUUUAUACGGGAAUAACGCGCCUUCCGUGUAGGGCUUUGCAUGUACCGUAUGAAUAAGGACAGGCUAAUUCCGUGCCACCAGCCGCGGUAAUACGGAAGGUCAGGGCGUUUCACGGUUUUAUUGGGUUUAAAGGGUGGGCCGGCGGAUUUUUAAGUCAGCGGUAAAAUCGUGGGGCUAAACCCCAUCCAGCCGUUGAAACUGGGGAUCUAGAGUGUGCAAGAGGUAUGAGGAAUGCGUGGUGUAGCGGUGAAAUGCAUAGAUAUCACGCAGAACCCCGAUUGCGAAGGCAGCAUACCGGUGCACAACUGACGCUCAGGCACGAAAGCGUGGGUAUCGAACAGGAUUAGAUACCCUUGUAGUC